GGCUUUGUGGCCCAACUGGCAGAGGCGCUCGACUCAAAAUCGAGAUGUUCUGGGUUCGACUCCCAGCAGAGCCACCA
rnacentral:tRNA from 1 species